GAACCUGCGGAAGGAUCAUUACCGAGUGAGGGCCCUCUGGGUCCAACCUCCCACCCGUGUCUAUCGUACCUUGUUGCUUCGGCGGGCCCGCCGUUUCGACGGCCGCCGGGGAGGCCUUGCGCCCCCGGGCCCGCGCCCGCCGAAGACCCCAACAUGAACGCUGUUCUGAAAGUAUGCAGUCUGAGUUGAUUAUCGUAAUCAGUUAAAACUUUCAACAACGGAUCUCUUGGUUCCGGCAUCGAUGAAGAACGCAGCGAAAUGCGAUAAGUAAUGUGAAUUGCAGAAUUCAGUGAAUCAUCGAGUCUUUGAACGCACAUUGCGCCCCCUGGUAUUCCGGGGGGCAUGCCUGUCCGAGCGUCAUUGCUGCCCUCAAGCACGGCUUGUGUGUUGGGCCCCCGUCCCCCUCUCCCGGGGGACGGGCCCGAAAGGCAGCGGCGGCACCGCGUCCGGUCCUCGAGCGUAUGGGGCUUUGUCACCUGCUCUGUAGGCCCGGCCGGCGCCAGCCGACACCCAACUUUAUUUUUCUAAGGUUGACCUCGGAUCAGGUAGGGAUACCC
rnacentral:rRNA from 1 species